rnacentral:rRNA from 1 species
CAAUAGCGUAUAUUAAAGUUGUUGCAGUUAAAAAGCUCGUAGUUGAAUUUCUGGCGGGCGCGCCGGUCUUCCAAGUGUUGUACUGGGCGCAGUCCGCCAUCCUUGUGGAGAGGGCUCGCAUUGAGUUGCGUGUCGGAUCUGCAUCAUUUACUGUGAAAAAAUUAGAGUGUUUAAAGCAGGCUGUCGCUUGAAUACAUUAGCAUGGAAUAAUAAGAUAGGACUUCGGUCUAUUUUGUUGGUUGCGAACCGAGGUAAUGAUUAAUAGGGAUAGUUGGGGGUAUUCAUAUUUAAUUGUCAGAGGUGAAAUUCUUGGAUUUAUGAAAGAUGAACAACUGCGAAAGCAUUUACCAAGGAUGUUUUCAUUAA